rnacentral:tRNA from 1 species
GCCUUGGUAGUGUAGCUAGGUCUAUCAUGAAGCCCUGUCGAGGCUUCGACCCGGGUUCGAAUCCCGGCCAGGGCG